GCUCGCUCCGUAAUGGGGAAGACUAGCUGGAUGACCAGCGGACGACCGUGGUGAAUUACACACACACACUCGUUGUAAUGAUGUAAUCUUUUCGUGUUUUCAUUGUACAGGACCGGAAUUGUUCAUGGUCUAUAUAAGUGUAUUACUAUAAUAUAACAACUCAUCGACACUACGUAUAGUCUUUCGUAGUAUUUGUUGAAUACAUGACACUAUCUUCAUAAUACUUCUAUAACUUUCCUUUCCUUAGCACAGUACUAUUUAUCAACGUUUUUCUUUUUCCUAGUCCUAUCACAAUAUUGACUUGGUAUGCAUCUCGCCAUUCUUUAAUACCCUUUUUUUUAAUAUACCACAGCUUGCUCUUCAUCUCCUAGCACCAAUACCCUUAGCCGCCUCCCUCCUUCGUACACUCACUCUCUAAAAAUACACCCGUCAUGAAAUAGCCCGCAUAACGUAACCUGCCGCGAACAGCUCUCUGGGAGUGACCUUGAGCUCCUGGCGGACUGUCAACGUGGAGUAAAGAGAAAGAAUAUAAACAAAACAUUAAUAACUCAAUAAUCCGUCAGGUGAAAAUAAACUGGACUGAUCGAUAGCAUGUGAGGCCAGAGAGAUGUUUCUUAAUGGUUUGUUCAUCCGUAUUUAUAACCCCUAAACGUGUAGAGGCAUGGCCUUAGUGCCGAGACGACCUUACUGUGGAAACCGUACUCUCCCUCCUUGUUACUUGCCUUAGCAGUGCGACAUUACGGGCAAGGACGAGGCACUCACCACGCCCCUGAAAUAGCAAUGUACAGCCGCGACCUAGUGAUCGCCGCCCGGAGCCAAGGUGGAUGCUGUCACUGAACAACUGUCACUGCGGCCCGUGCCUCAACCCUGGCGGGGGGCAAGGCAGCAGCAGACUCUCUGGGCGGUACUACAAACACUCGGUGCACCAGACACAGGUGGUAGAAAGGUGUGACGCAGCAGAUGCCGGUGGUUUCUUUCUGCCAAGUUAGUCACCAAAGGCCAUCCGUCUUAGACGGCCAUGGUUCAUGAUCACCUAGACACGUGACUCGCCCUUGAGGACAGCCGAGUACGCGAUAUUGUUGUCAUUUUCAUUUCAACACCGGCCGUUAUUUCACAUCUGUAUUUGACAAUGCGUUUUAUAUGAGACUGAGGAUAAUAGAGAUGGCAAGUCAUCACCACCACCCACGAGAGGGAGGUUGAUUGAGGACACGUCUUUUUUUUUUUUUUUUUCUUUCUUUUCCUACCAUCAUCUAAUAUCAUACUCACGCUUUAGAUAUUCCCUCGUCCUCGACGCCGCCAGAUGGCACCACACCUGUUCCUGUUCUCUCUCACCGCCUACACUUCACCUUGCAAACCACUACAGCACUUGGGCGGCACCUCAUCAGCCCUCCCGUGUGACUGUCUGGAGCGUCCUCACUCAACAGGUGUUUCACCCUCAACACCCACACUGUCUCCUCGGCCUGGCUAAGUGUAGGGUGGUUUGGGGCAGGCAAGGAGCGGGUGGAGGAGGCGCGACCCCUACACCGCAACAGCUGGUGUUUGGUGUUGGGGAGAGCCUUGCCUUCCGCCCCGCCCACACCUCCUCCCUCUCCCUGCAGUCAUCUUUUCCUUAAACGAUUAAUAUAUAUUUUUUCUACAAAA
rnacentral:lncRNA from 1 species